UACGGGGGGAGCAAGCGUUGUUCGGAUUUACUGGGCGUAAAGGGCGCGUAGGCGGUCAGCACAAGUCAGUUGUGAAAUCUCCGGGCUUAACUCGGAAAGGUCAACUGAUACUGUGCGACUAGAGUGCAGAAGGGGCAACUGGAAUUCUCGGUGUAGCGGUGAAAUGCGUAGAUAUCAGGAGGAACACCGGUGGCGAAGGCGGGUCUCUGGGCAGUAACUGACGCUGAGGAGCGAAAGCGUGGGUAGCAAACAGG
rnacentral:rRNA from 1 species